rnacentral:rRNA from 1 species
AACGCGAAGAACCUUACCAGCCUUUGACAUCCCGGUCGCGAGCACCAGAGAUGGAGCUCUUCAGUUCGGCUGGACCGGAGACAGGUGCUGCAUGGCUGUCGUCAGCUCGUGUCGUGAGAUGUUGGGUUAAGUCCCGCAACGAGCGCAACCCUCGCCCUUAGUUGCCAUCAUUUAGUUGGGCACUCUAAGGGGACUGCCGGUGAUAAGCCGGAGGAAGGUGGGGAUGACGUCAAGUCCUCAUGGCCCUUACAGGCUGGGCUACACACGUGCUACAAUGGCGGUGACAGAGGGACGCAAAGGAGCAAUCCUUCGCAAAUCUCAAAAAGCCGUCUCAGUUCGGAUUGUGCUCUGCAACUCGAGCACAUGAAGUUGGAAUCGCUAGUAAUCGCAGAUCAGCACGCUGCGGUGAAUACGUUCCCGGGCCUUGUA